rnacentral:rRNA from 1 species
UACGGGGGGGGCAAGCGUUGUUCGGAAUUACUGGGCGUAAAGAGCUCGUAGGCGGCUUGUUACGUCGUUCGUGAAAACUUGGGGCUCAACCCCAAGCUUGCGGUCGAUACGGGCAGGCUAGAGUUCGGUAGGGGAGACUGGAAUUCCUGGUGUAGCGGUGAAAUGCGCAGAUAUCAGGAGGAACACCGGUGGCGAAGGCGGGUCUCUGGGCCGAUACUGACGCUGAGGAGCGAAAGCGUGGGGAGCGAACAGG